UACGUAGGGGGCAAGCGUUGUCCGGAUUUAUUGGGCGUAAAGAGCGUGUAGGCGGCCUGACAGGUCUGCUGUGAAACUCGAGGCUCAACCUCGAGAUGUCGGCGGAAACCGUCUGGCUAGAGUCCGGAAGAGGAGAGUGGAAUCCUGGUGUAGCGGUGAAAUGCGCAGAUAUCAGGAAGACACCUAUGGCGAAGGCAGCUCUCUGGGACGGUACUGACGCUGAGACGCGAAAGCGUGGGGAGCGAACAGG
rnacentral:rRNA from 1 species